rnacentral:rRNA from 1 species
AGACCCGAAACCCGGUGAUCUAGCCAUGGGCAGGUUGAAGGUUGGGUAACACUAACUGGAGGACCGAACCGACUAAUGUUGAAAAAUUAGCGGAUGACUUGUGGCUGGGGGUGAAAGGCCAAUCAAACCGGGAGAUAGCUGGUUCUCCCCGAAAGCUAUUUAGGUAGCGCCUCGUGAAUUCAUCUCCGGGGGUAGAGCACUGUUUCGGCAAGGGGGUCAUCCCGACUUACCAACCCGAUGCAAACUGCGAAUACCGGAGAAUGUUAUCACGGGAGACACACGGCGGGUGCUAACGUCCGUCGUGAAGAGGGAAACAACCCAGACCGCCAGCUAAGGUCCCAAAGUCAUGGUUAAGUGGGAAACGAUGUGGGAAGGCCCAGACAGCCAGGAUGUUGGCUUAGAAGCAGCCAUCAUUUAAAGAAAGCGUAAUAGCUCACUGGUCGAGUCGGCCUGCGCGGAAGAUGUAACGGGGCUAAACCAUGCACCGAAGCUGCGGCAGCGACACUGUGUGUUGUUGGGUAGGGGAGCGUUCUGUAAGCCUGUGAAGGUGUGCUGUGAGGCAUGCUGGAGGUAUCAGAAGUGCGAAUGCUGACAUAAGUAACGAUAAAGCGGGUGAAAAGCCCGCUCGCCGGAAGACCAAGGGUUCCUGUCCAACGUUAAUCGGGGCAGGGUGAGUCGACCCCUAAGGCGAGGCCGAAAGGCGUAGUCGAUGGGAAACAGGUUAAUAUUCCUGUACUUGGUGUUACUGCGAAGGGGGGACGGAGAAGGCUAUGUUGGCCGGGCGACGGUUGUCCCGGUUUAAGCGUGUAGGCUGGUUUUCCAGGCAAAUCCGGAAAAUCAAGGCUGAGGCGUGAUGACGAGGCACUACGGUGCUGAAGCAACAAAUGCCCUGCUUCCAGGAAAAGCCUCUAAGCAUCAGGUAACAUCAAAUCGUACCCCAAACCGACACAGGUGGUCAGGUAGAGAAUACCAAGGCGCUUGAGAGAACUCGGGUGAAGGAACUAGGCAAAAUGGUGCCGUAACUUCGGGAGAAGGCACGCUGAUAUGUAGGUGAAGUCCCUCGCGGAUGGAGCUGAAAUCAGUCGAAGAUACCAGCUGGCUGCAACUGUUUAUUAAAAACACAGCACUGUGCAAACACGAAAGUGGACGUAUACGGUGUGACGCCUGCCCGGUGCCGGAAGGUUAAUUGAUGGGGUCAGCGCAAGCGAAGCUCUUGAUCGAAGCCCCGGUAAACGGCGGCCGUAACUAUAACGGUCCUAAGGUAGCGAAAUUCCUUGUCGGGUAAGUUCCGACCU